UACACACUUCAAUAAUCACGUCAAAUUGAAGAUAAAAACAAAUGCAUUCAGUUAAAUUAAUCAAUGGAACCGAAUACAAGAAAAACAUCUUCAAAGUAACUCACCCUUGAAGUUUUCUUAUGCGAAUCUUAAAAGAUAUAUAUACAGUAGGUUCACAAUUCGUGUCAGAUUAUCAACAACCAUUGUAUUUAUUUGUAUGAAUUGAGUGAUUUUUCUUAAAACAAAAUGCCAGCACCCUGUGAACCUUGUAAAGAUACGUGCAACGAUGAUGCGUGUAAUGAUGAAUGCAAUUGUGAAGUAAAUUGUGAUGAUUGUUCUGCAAAAGGAAAAUGCUGUUAAAAGAUUUUCUAUGAUGACGUUAUAUUGAACUAUGUUUUAAAACAAU